AGCCCGUUUCUGCCUCGCUUCUUUGGAGGAAAAAGCAGGCAGAGCUGGUCCAUAAUCCUAGCUCCACUGCCCCCAACCUGCAAGACUCUCUGCAAGACCCUGUCCGGGCUCACUUUCCAGGACCUUGCUUGGAGCUUUCUGACACAGGAGAACUUCAAUCAAUAUUUAUUGAAUGAAUGUGUCCCUCCUGGUCCCAUCUCUACCUUUGAAAACUCGAGUCCCAAAUGGCGAAUGAAGAUCCUCAACAAUACGAGCCAUCCUCCUUCCUGAACGCUCUUAAUUAAAACCACAUCCAAAGCAUCUAAUGUUUCUCUCCCAGUUCUCUGUUCUGUUGUAUGUGUGUUCUUGGUUUCCAGUAGGUUCUGAAGUUCCCAUUGGGCACCAUUAAGAUCUACCUCUCCUCAGGUAGCCUUGUGAAGCCCGGGGACCUUCUUGGUGACUUUGUAUAUGGAACCCCAAACCAAAGCACUACUCAGAUGUCAGAGCCUGAGGAAACUAAUUCCAGAAAGCAUGGACAUCAUGGAAGACAUUUCUAAGCUUUUCAAACUGUAGGUUCCAUCUGGAAAAUCUCAAAAAUGUUGGCCACGUGGUGUAGUCCACAUUACAUAACCCAUGCCCGGCUCCCCUGCUUAUGUUCCCAAACGCUC
rnacentral:lncRNA from 1 species